GGCAUGUCAGUAGCUUUAUUCCUCGAUUCGCGGCCACAAGCAGCAUUUACUGAGUUGUGCGUUUUCCUGUCAUAGGUUGACUCGUGCUUGCAGCCGUGUGCUGCCUGGCCGCCCAUCAUCAGAAACUGAAGCUCUGCAUCACCUGAGCCUUAUCUUGGUUCCGCAGCGAACUUCACUGAGUCUGCGUCGCCGGUAUCGGAAGCAGCGCCACCUGGACCUAUAAAAGGACCAGCACUGCAGCAACUCGUUGGGAUUCGCGGCCACAAGCAGCAUUUACUGAGUUGUGCGUUUUUCCUGUCAUAGGUUGACUCGUGCUUGCCGCCGUGUGCUGCCUGGCCGCCCAUCAUCAGAAACUGAAGCUCUGCAUCACCUGAGCCUUAUCUUGGUUCCGCAGCGAACUUCACUGAGUCUGCGUCGCCGGUAUCGGAAGCAGCGCCACCUGGACCUAUAAAAGGACCAGCACUGCAGCAACUCGUUGGGAUUCGCGGCCACAAGCAGCAUUUACUGAGUUGUGCGUUUUCCUGUCAUAGAUAUACUAUAGCGAGAAGGCACACCGUGGACAAGACACUGAACGGAGCGCUUGAGUGGCGUGCUUUGGCGGCCUUUCUGGCCCUGCGGACAAAAUCUCGUGCGUCACGCCAGCUCCCCUCGUCAGACAGAGUGCCGCCUGCUUGCCUUAUUCAACGGCGAGAGCCGAUGCUGCAUUGCGCGCCGACCCGAUGCGUGCUCAAUCUCUCAGGCGAUCCUCGAUGCUACUCGCUGCUUCACCUCGAUGCUCCGCUUUCUCGCGACGCCUUUAGUCACUUUCCGUAGGAGAGGGACGACGGAAAGUGGUGACUUCAGUGGUGCUACGGGAAAGCAUACGGUAAAGCGAAUCGAACUCGUCCCUGGGGUAGUUCCUUGGACGAGGGUUCCAGCUCGUAGAUCUAUGGUUGCUAGCGCAACCUUGUUAUCCUUAGAGUGGAUUUAUAUGUGUGCGCUCCUUCCCACCGUGGUAACCUGACGAAAAUAAGAAGGGGCACCGCUU